CCUUCUCAUUGGUAAAAUUCUUAAUGGUUCCAUUAAGAGGCUACCAUUCAGAGGCUACCAAACAGCCCCUAAAUCUUUUUGAGUCGAUAAGGCCACUUCCGAUAGACCCGACACACAUUCUUUCCAUUCCCAAACUUCCGCUGCUGUCUCUAGUGGCCGAGACCAAUCCCAGCUCCACCUAUUGGCCCUCGUAUUCGAUACUACCCUACUAUUAACUUUGCAAUCUAUAUCAUUUUCUAAUAUGAAUAAUCUAGGCGACCGAAACAUAAGCGGUUCGUUCCCAACCCACCAAUCAAAUUGUGAAUCUUUCUUCUGUUUAACUUUAGCUUCGACUGCACUCUAAUUAUAAUGUUCCAAACCCCUACUAACAACAGAUUAGACGACCAGAUAGACCAUCUAUUCUACGACCAUGACACGCCGCCACUACCUUAUGCCAUAAGCUAUUCUCUUCCAACCUAUAUCUCCAAACCCACUUCGCCAAAAAAGCAUCAUUAACAUGACCCAGUCUUGAUAUCCCCAAAACCCCCAAUUGUUUUGGAAGCACCACCCUAUCCCAAGCAACCCAAUACAUUUUCCGAUUACCAACCCAAGCCACCCCAAAUGAAAUUCCUCAUCUAUGAUUCUAACUUCUCCACCACAUUAACCGGAGCUUUGAGCUUUGAAUAGCGAAAAAUAAUAAAUAGGUAAAGUUUCCAACACCGCUUUAGCUACCAUGAUCCGACCCCCAAUAGAUAAAGUACGAGACUUCCAUGAUGCAAGACGGGUUUCAAAAAUGCCCACAAUAGGAUCCCAAUUACUAAUCCUAUUCACAUUAGCUCCCACCAUAAUCUCCAAAAAAGUAAAAGGAACCACACCCCUCUUACAACCCACAAUACCAGCCAUUUCAUCCCUGAACAAGCAUAAAAAAUUCUCAAUAAUCUAGCCACCACCUUCAAGUUCUCAUGAGCCCAAUUCCCUAUUAACAAGGCAUCAUCCGCAUACGGAAAAUGAGAUGCCAACGGUCCUCCAUUAGGAGUUCUAAUACCAUCUAAUAUACCCAAAUUACAAGCUUUGGAAAUCAUAUUCGAAAAGGCUUCCAUGAUGAAAAGAAAAAGAAAGGGAGAGAGUGGAUCACCUUGCCGAAUGCCUUUAUGACAUUGAAAUUCAUAGGUGGGAGAUCCAUUGACUAAUACCGAGGACCUCGCCGAAUAAAGGACACCUCUAAUCCAAUUACACCAAACCAACAUAAAGUUUAUUUGAGUCACAAUAUAUAGGAGAAAUUUCCAAUUAACAUUAUUGUAUGCUUUUUCGAAAUCUAUCUUGAAAAGAAAACCUUUCCUACCUUCUUUCUUUAACCAUGAAAUCAACUCGCUAAGCAUCAGCUAUGAAGAAUAUAACGAUCCUUGAGAAAGGCUGUUUGAGUUUCCGAUGUAACCGAACCAAUUACGUUUUUCAACCUAUUUGCAAAAAUUUGAGAGACCACGUUACUUAUAAUGCGAAUGAGAUUAAUCGGUCGAUAGUCCUUCAACUCAACCGGUUCUUUAGACUUAGGAAUAAGAGUAAUAAACAAAGAGCUACUCCCUUUACUAAACGUGCCGAACACAAAGAAUUCAGCCAUUAAAUCCCCAAAGUCCUUUUCAAAAAUCUCCAGAAUCUCUUAAUGAACUUGAAGUUAAUCCCAUCCAGGCCCGGGGCCCGAUCCGACCCACAAUCGAACACUGCACUUUUAAUCUCCAUCUAAAAAAAGGAGCCGUAAGUUCCAUCGCCUCAUUAUCUGAUAGUUUCUUCAAUUCUGGGCAACAUAACUUUGGCCGAUUUACCAUAUUCUCCUCAAAAUGCUUUCUAAAAAAAUGGAGGACCUCUCUUUUUAUCAGGUUAGGUUCCGCCACCCAAUUAACUCCGAUCAAUAAACCCGAGAUCCCAUUUAUCGCUUUCUAUUGUUUAUGAGCCUAUGAAAUAAUGCAGGAUUAUCAUCCUUGUGUAUCGCCCAAGGGAUGCGAGAUCUUCGUCUAAGGUCCAUCGCCUUAUAGUGUUCGAUUUCCGAUAUACCUUUCUAAUUUAAGCCAUUUUUCCAAGGGAUCUCCCCAUCACAUUACAAGUAAGUGUUUCAUCCAAGAUCAAGCAACAACAUUCUGAAAUAUAAUCAUGUACUAAGCCUUUCAGUAUUUGGUAAACUUCUUUUAAAAUUAAGGGAAAGGAAUGAGGAUCAUGAUCCAAGAAUUGCUAUGGAGAACUACAACUAAUACAGGGAUCAACAUAUCUAGCAGGAUUGCAUGAAGCCCAAGGUGUUUUGAAGAAAGUUUUGGGAGCGGUACAAAAACCAGUUUACUUGCUUGAUAUCAUGAUGUUGUCACAAUUGAGGAAAGAUGCACACCCUUCAACUUAUGGUGAUCGUUCAGGUGUAGAUUGUAGUCAUUGGUGUGUUCCUUGGCUACCCGAUACUUGGAAUCAACUCCUAUAUGCAAGCUUUAUUAAGUAAUUGACGUAACGAUUUAAUUUAUCUCACUACAGAUUUGUUUUAUAGAAACUAUUUGCAUAUUAGUUGUAAUGAAGUGCGAAAAUUUGUUCAUUUCAAUUUUCAAAGUUCAUUGAUUAGUAUUGGAAAAAUCUUGUUUUGUCUAUUCUCUUAGGUUAUGAAUUGAAAUGCAAAAUAAUUUUCAUAUAUAUAUAUAUAUAGGGUACGGUUCUAGAGUGAACAAUCUUCCAAGAGUGAACUGCGUGAACUAAUCUGGACCCUUGAUUAUUAUGAUCUUUAGAUUUGAAUAGAGUGGCAUGAUUGUAAUUAGUUGAUUAGAUUUUACUAUUUAAUUAAAUAGAAAAGGGUAAAAGUGUAAUUCUAAUUUAAUUAUCUACGUUUGAAAUCCCCCAAAUAUUCUUCAAUUGCCUAUCCCCUAAAUUUCUACAUUUUAGUUUAUGAAUCCCCUUAAACACCUCUUUAUUCACAACAAUAUCCUCUUUCUCUCUCACAAUAAUCGGCGACGACAGAAAGAAACCAAGCGGCAGAUUGUCUGAGCAAUAAAUUCGCCGGAAAGUCAUCUUAUUUUCAACAUUACCCCUUUAUUCACAACGAAUAUCCUCUUUCUCUUUCACAUUCAUCGGCGACGGCAAAAAGAAACCCAACGGCAGAUCGUCUGAACAAUCAAAUCGCCAGAAAAGUCAUCUGAUUUUCAACCACUAAAGGCAAUUUGUGUUCGAAACCACAUCACAUCUGGUGUUGGGCUGUAUCAUUUUCCAAAUGAAGGAUUUGCAAUCAAGUAAGUGGAUUAAUGCUGGAGUCGUUAAUUGCUUUGCAUCAAUGCUAAACCAUUAUGAAAAUCAGUGAACAAAUGAAGUAAAUAUUUUUGGGGAAGCUGAUAAAAUCAAGGGGACAAAGCCGUGAUUGUUUUGCAAUACUGAAUAUGGUCAUUUUUACUUGGUUUGCUUUGAUCAAUGAUGACGAUUUUUUCAGUAAGACCACGCCGUACAAAGUGAAGGAUGUUUUCACAAAGUAUAUGAAGCUGGUUAAUCAUCCAAAGUAUCGGUAGAUUGAAAAUACAGUGCCACAAAGGUUGGAUUUUGAAUGGAAGACGUCGGCAACACGGUCGAUUGCGGGGUCUUUGUUGUGCGUCAUAUGGAAACUCGGUUUGGCAUACAGUUGAUAAAUGGGAUAGUGGCUUCCCACUUGAGCCGGGCACCAAGAAAGCAACGCUGACACGGUUACGGAAGAAAUACGCGGUGAAAUAGUAGAACACAAGUUUAUUUUCUAUCGGCAGAUUGAAAUGCACAAGUGAUGUUUUGGUGUUUGAUUCUUUUUUGAAAUAGUGGAACACAAGUUUAAUUUCUAUUUGUAUGGAUUUUUUGUUUUUUAGACUAUUUGACACCUUACUGAAUCGUAUAAAGGUUAUGUGUGACGAAUUUCAUACAACACUUACACAA